GGCGCGAUAACCGAGUGGCCUAAGGUGUUUGACUCGAAAUCAAAUCUCUUCGGAGGCGCAGGUUCAAAUCCUGCUCGCGUCG
rnacentral:tRNA from 1 species